UUAGAUUGCUAGCUAAUCGCUUGUACAUUUAUGUGCCAGAGGAAAGUCCGGGCAGCAUAGGGAAUGACAGCCGCUAACGGCGGCCGGGGGUGACCCUAGGGAAAGUGCCACAGAAACGAUACUUCCUGGUUUUACCAGGUAAAGGUGAAACGCGCGAGGUAAGAGCUCGUAGUCGCGCAUGGUAACAUGCGAGAGAGGUAAACCCUGUCUGCUGCAAGGAGUGAGCUAAAUACGUUCCCGCGAUGCUCACGUUUGACCCCGCUUGAGCCUGCAAGCAAUUGCAGGCCUAGAUAGAUGAUUAGCGCUUUCGUAAGAAAGACACAAAACCCGGCUUACCGGUAAUCUACCAGU
rnacentral:RNase_P_RNA from 1 species